rnacentral:rRNA from 1 species
UGGGGAAUAUUGGACAAUGGGCGAAAGCCUGAUCCAGCCAUGCCGCGUGUGUGAAGAAGGUCUUCGGAUUGUAAAGCACUUUAAGUUGGGAGGAAGGGCAUUUACCUAAUACGUAAGUGUUUUGACGUUACCGACAGAAUAAGCACCGGCUAACUCUGUGCCAGCAGCCGCGGUAAUACAGAGGGUGCAAGCGUUAAUCGGAAUUACUGGGCGUAAAGCGCGCGUAGGUGGUUUGUUAAGUUGGAUGUGAAAUCCCCGGGCUCAACCUGGGAACUGCAUUCAAAACUGACAAGCUAGAGUAUGGUAGAGGGUGGUGGAAUUUCCUGUGUAGCGGUGAAAUGCGUAGAUAUAGGAAGGAACACCAGUGGCGAAGGCGACCACCUGGACUGAUACUGACACUGAGGUGCGAAAGCGUGGGGAGCAAACAGGAUUAGAUACCCAAGUAGUCCCUGAGCGGGCUGGCAAGGCGCAU